rnacentral:rRNA from 1 species
UUUUGACCUGAACUCAGUCGAGAGCACCCGCUGAACUUAAGCAUAUCAGUAAGCGGAGGAAAAGAAGCUAAACAGGAUUCCCCAGUAACGGCGAGUGAACAGGGAAAUGUCCAUCGCUAAAUCAUUUUGCCUCAGGCAUUAUGAAGUGUAGCGUAUAAGCCGUAAUCUUUGAUCUUUUAUUUCAAACAAGUUCCCUUGACAGGGGUUCCACAGAAGGUGCAAGUCCUGUACAUUGAGAUAAAUGAUCGAUAUAGAGUCGGGUUGUUUGGGAGUCGGGUUGUUUGGGACAACCCGACUUUAGAGUCGGGUUGUUUGGGAUCGCAGCCCAAAGUCGGUGGUAAACUUCAUCUAAGACUCAAUAUUGCCACGAGACCGAUAGCAAACAAGUACUGUGAAGGAAAGUUGCAAAGCACUUUGAAGAGAGAGUUAAAGAGGACGUGAAACCGGUGAGGUGGAAACGGAUAGAGUCGGCGUAUCUUUCAAGUAUUCAUUUACAUUAUUUUUAUGUUGUGAUCUCUGAGCUCCAGAUUGGGACAGAGGGAAGCAGCAUAAUUUUCUGUGAUGCAUUUACUUGUUUGGUGCUUGGGGAUGUUUGAUGCAGAUUUGUAUCCGCCGUUUUGAGGCCAGCUUGCUGGUACCCAAACGGUGUUAGCAUUUUUUGUCUUGGACAUUUGAGUAUGGCUUACGGGCAUUUAUUGGUUCGAUCUGGGUGUAAGUUACGGUCGCAUGCGACACGUGCUUUUCAAUUAGUUCGGUCCAGUUAAUGCUCUCGUACUCCUUCCCCAUGUAAAAGCCGGUCAUCUAUCCGACCCGUCUUGAAACACGGACCAAGGAGUUUAUCGUGUGCGCAAGUUUUUGGGUGUUAAAAACCUAAAAGCGAAAUGAAAGUAAAUGGCUCUUUAGAGUCUGAUGUGCGAUCUUGUAAAAAAGUGCAGCAUGGCCCCAUUCUAACUGUUUACAGUAGGGUGGCGGAAGAGCGUACGCGGUGAGACCCGAAAGAUGGUGAACUAUUCCUGAGCAGGACGAAGCCAGAGGAAACUCUGGUGGAAGUCCGAAGCGGUUCUGACGUGCAAAUCGAUCGUCUGACUUGGGUAUAGGGGCGAAAGACUAAUCGAACCAUCUAGUAGCUGGUUCCCUCUGAAGUUUCCCCCAGGAUAGCUGGAGCUCACGAGUAGUUAUACUCGGUAAAGCGAAUGAUUAGAGGACUUGGGAACGAAAUGUUCUUAACCUAUUCUCAAACUCUAAAUGGGUAUGAUGUCAAAGUUGCUUGAUUUUGAACUUUGGCGUUGAAUACGAGCUCCAAGUGGGCCAUUUUUGGUAAGCAGAACUGGCGAUGUGGGAUGAACCAAACGCGGAGUUGCGGUGCCAAAGUGCCCGCUCAUUAGACCCCAUAAAAGGUGUUGGUUGAUACAGACAGCAGGACGGUGGCCAUGGAAGUCGGAAUCCGCUAAGGAGUGUGUAACAACUCACCUGCCGAAUCAACUAGCCCUGAAAAUGGAUGGCGCUGGAGCGGGCCACCUAUACUCUGCCGUCAUAUGCUUGUAUUUUUGAGUCUUGCAAUGAUGUGUAAGAGGGUCGUAGUGGUUGUGUUGAAGGCUUUGGGUGUGCACCCAGCUGGAGCUUCCACUAGUGCAGAUCUUGGUGGUAGUAGCAAAUAUUCAAGUGAGAUCCUUGAAGACUGAAGUGGAGAAGGGUUCCACGUGAACAGCAGUUGAAUGUGGGUCAGUCGAUCCUAAGGCACCGGCUAAAGCCGUCUAGACACUGCGGGGAGAUGAGAUACUUAACGGUAUUUUGUCCACCCGGUUGCCGAAAGGGAAGUGGGUUAAUAUUCCCACACCAGGCAUGGGAGAUGGUGAUCCGCAAGGAUUACUUUGCGCGGUGACGCAAACGAACUCGUAGACCUCGUGUGGAGUCCGGGCCAGAGUUCUCUUUUCUGGUUUAGAGGUCAUGUCCCUGGAAGUGGCUCAGCCUGAGAUAGGGAUGCUGGUCUCGUAAAGCGCAGCGGUUCCUGUUGUGUCUCGUGUGCUCCACAUGAGCCGUGAAAAUGCGAGGGAGGCAAUUUAAAAUCUCCUGCCUGAUCGUACCCAUAUCCGCAGCAGGUCUCCAAGGUGAACAGCCUCUAGUCGAUAGAAUAAUGUAGGUAAGGGAAGUCGGCAAAUAGAUUCGUAACUUCGGGAAAAGAAUUGGCUCUAAAGGUUGGGUCAAUCGGGCUGUUGUGUGAAACAGGUGGACUUUGCUCGUGGCUGCUUGCGCUUCUUUCGGGGCGGCGCUUGUGGACUAGUAGUGAGGACUGCUUGUGGAGCGCUUCAGCUGCGUGCUAUUUCGCAAGAUAUAGUACUUCGAUUGGCGCUGAACAACCAGUUUAGAACUGGCACGAACUCCGGGAAUCCGACUGUCUAAUUAAAACAGAGGAGACGGAUGGUCCUUGCAGGACGUUGACCGUGUCUGAUUUCUGCCCAGUGCUCUGAAUGUUAAGCCAAGGAAACUUGAUUAAGCGCGG